rnacentral:rRNA from 1 species
UAAGGAAUAUUGGACAAUGGAGGCAACUCUGAUCCAGCCAUGCCGCGUGAAGGAAUAAGGCCCUAUGGGUUGUAAACUUCUUUUAGACGGGACAAAACCCCUUUACGUGUAAAGGGUUGAUGGUACUGUCAGAAUAAGCAUCGGCUAACUUCGUGCCAGCAGCCGCGGUAAUACGAAGGAUGCAAGCGUUAUCCGGAAUUAUUGGGUUUAAAGGGUGCGUAGGCGGACUAAUAAGUCAGUGGUGAAAGCCUGCAGCUUAACUGCAGAAUUGCCAUUGAUACUGUUAGUCUUGAGUACAGUUGAGGUUGGCGGAAUGUGUCAUGUUGCGGUGAAAUGCUUAGAUAUGACAAAGAACACCGAUUGCGAAGGCAGCUUGCUAAGCUGUAACUGACGCUGAGGCACGAAAGCGUGGGGAGCAAACA